UACGAAGGGUGCAAACGUUGUUCGGAAUUACUGGGCGUAAAGCGCACGUAGGCGGAUUGUUAAGUUAGGGGUGAAAUCCCAGGGCUCAACCCUGGAACUGCCUUUAAUACUGGCAAUCUCGAGUCCGAGAGAGGUGAGUGGAAUUCCGAGUGUAGAGGUGAAAUUCGUAGAUAUUCGGAGGAACACCAGUGGCGAAGGCGGCUCACUGGGCCUGUACUGACGCUGAGGAGCGAAAGCGUGGGGAGCGAACAGG
rnacentral:rRNA from 1 species